rnacentral:rRNA from 1 species
AAUAAUGCAGUCGAGCGAAUGGAUUAAGAGCUUGCUCUUAUGAAGUUAGCGGCGGACGGGUGAGUAACACGUGGGUAACCUGCCCAUAAGACUGGGAUAACUCCGGGAAACCGGGGCUAAUACCGGAUAACAUUUUGAACUGCAUGGUUCGAAAUUGAAAGGCGGCUUCGGCUGUCACUUAUGGAUGGACCCGCGUCGCAUUAGCUAGUUGGUGAGGUAACGGCUCACCAAGGCAACGAUGCGUAGCCGACCUGAGAGGGUGAUCGGCCACACUGGGACUGAGACACGGCCCAGACUCCUACGGGAGGCAGCAGUAGGGAAUCUUCCGCAAUGGACGAAAGUCUGACGGAGCAACGCCGCGUGAGUGAUGAAGGCUUUCGGGUCGUAAAACUCUGUUGUUAGGGAAGAACAAGUGCUAGUUGAAUAAGCUGGCACCUUGACGGUACCUAACCAGAAAGCCACGGCUAACUACGUGCCAGCAGCCGCGGUAAUACGUAGGUGGCAAGCGUUAUCCGGAAUUAUUGGGCGUAAAGCGCGCGCAGGUGGUUUCUUAAGUCUGAUGUGAAAGCCCACGGCUCAACCGUGGAGGGUCAUUGGAAACUGGGAGACUUGAGUGCAGAAGAGGAAAGUGGAAUUCCAUGUGUAGCGGUGAAAUGCGUAGAGAUAUGGAGGAACACCAGUGGCGAAGGCGACUUUCUGGUCUGUAACUGACACUGA